AGAAGUAAAAGUCGUAACAAGGUUUCACUCCUGAACAACGAGCCCUUCGUAGUACUAUGGAAGCCUUUGCAACCCCCCGGGGGUCCCCGACUAUAACUGGGACAGCAAGUCGCCUCGGCGGCAACAUGAUCGAAUUGCGGGGACGUCCUAAAGCUCUCACCACUCCCCUCCAUCAGAAACGAUGGGGGCUCGUCACAGCGUGAGAGAUGUACAAUGGGCGAUCCGCAGCGAAGCCCCGUCAGCCUACCCUGUAGGCCCGGGGACCGUUCACAGACUAGGUGGUCAUGGGCACCGCGGUGCUUAAGAUAUAGUCGGCCAGCUGGGGAAACCUGACUGCUAGCGCGUUCCGUAGGUGAACCUGCGGAAGGAUCAUUA
rnacentral:ncRNA from 1 species